AUGGAGAAUCACAGGGUGAAAGAGGAUAUAGUUGAGGUCAUAAAUGGAGGAGAAGAGGAACAAGAACAACAACGGGAGGUGGGUGCCAUUGCUGGUGGUGAAGAGGAUGAGGCUGUUUCCACCAUGACUAUGGAAAGGGUUGCUGCUGCUAAGAAAUUCAUUGAGAAUCAUUAUAGGUCUCAGAUGAAACACAUCCAAGAACGCAAGGAAAGGUUGACUUCCAUAGCUUGA